UACGUAGGGUGCGAGCGUUAAUCGGAAUUACUGGGCGUAAAGCGUGCGCAGGCGGUUUUGUAAGACAGAUGUGAAAGCCCCGGGCUCAACCUGGGAAUGGCAUUUGGGACUGCAAGGCUGGAGUUUGGCAGAGGAGACUGGAAUUCCUGGUGUAGCAGUGAAAUGCGUAGAUAUCAGGAGGAACACCGAUGGCGAAGGCAGGUCUCUGGGCUGAAACUGACGCUCAAGCACGAAAGCGUGGGGAGCAAACAGG
rnacentral:rRNA from 1 species